rnacentral:rRNA from 1 species
GAGUUUGAUCGUGGCUCAGAUUGAACGCUGGCGGCAUGCCUUACACAUGCAAGUCGAACGGCAGCACGGGAGCUUGCUCCUGGUGGCGAGUGGCGAACGGGUGAGUAAUGCAUCGGAACGUAUCCUGGAGUGGGGGAUAACGUAGCGAAGGUUACGCUAAUACCGCAUAUUCUGUGAGCAGGAAAGCGGGGGACCUUCGGGCCUCGCGCUCUUGGAGCGGCCGAUGUCGGAUUAGCUAGUUGGUGAGGUAAAGGCUCACCAAGGCGACGAUCCGUAGCAGGUCUGAGAGGAUGAUCUGCCACACUGGAACUGAGACACGGUCCAGACUCCUACGGGAGGCAGCAGUGGGGAAUUUUGGACAAUGGGGGCAACCCUGAUCCAGCCAUGCCGCGUGAGUGAAGAAGGCCUCGGUGUAA